GGCCGGGUGGCGGAAUUGGCAGACGCGUAGGUCUCAAAAACCUAUGGGGGCAACCCCGUGAGGGUUCGAUUCCCUCCCCGGCCA
rnacentral:tRNA from 1 species